rnacentral:rRNA from 1 species
GACGAACGCUGGCGGCGUGCUUAACACAUGCAAGUCGAACGGAAAGGCCCUGCUUUUGUGGGGUGCUCGAGUGGCGAACGGGUGAGUAACACGUGAGUAACCUGCCCUUGACUUUGGGAUAACUUCAGGAAACUGGGGCUAAUACCGGAUAGGAGCUCCUGCUGCAUGGUGGGGGUUGGAAAGUUUCGGCGGUUGGGGAUGGACUCGCGGCUUAUCAGCUUGUUGGUGGGGUAGUGGCUUACCAAGACUUUGACGGGUAGCCGGCCUGAGAGGGUGACCGGCCACAUUGGGACUGAGAUACGGCCCAGACUCCUACGGGAGGCAGCAGUGGGGAAUAUUGCACAAUGGGCGGAAGCCUGAUGCAGCAACGCCGCGUGCGGGAUGACGGCCUUCGGGUUGUAAACCGCUUUCGCCUGUGACGAAGCGUGAGUGGCGGUAAUGGGUAAAGAAGCACCGGCUAACUACGUG